rnacentral:rRNA from 1 species
AACGAACGUUAGCGGCGCGCCUAACACAUGCAAGUCGAGCGAGAAAGGGCUUCGGCCCCGGUAAAGCGGCGCACGGGUGAGUAACACGUGGAUAACCUACCCCUUGGUGGUGGAUAACCUUCCGAAAGGAGGGCUAAUACAGCGUAAGACCACGACUUCGAAAGAGGUUGAGGUAAAAGUGGGCCUCUGUACACAAGCUCACGCCAGGGGGAUGGGGUCCGCGGCCCAUCAGCUAGUUGGUAGGUAACGGCCUACCAAGGCGAAGACGGGUAGCUGGUCUGAGAGGAUGAUCAGCCACACUGGAACUGAGACACGGUCCAGACUCCUACGGGAGGCAGCAGUGGGGAAUCUUGCGCAAUGGACGAAAGUCUGACGCAGCGACGCCG